AUCCACUCAGGUUUGACCUCGGAUCAGGUGGGGAUACCCGCUGAACUUAAGCAUAUCAAUAAGCGGAGGAAAAGAAACCAACCGGGAUUGCCUCAGUAACGGCGAGUGAAGCGGCAACAGCCCAAAUUUGAAAUCUGGCCCUAGGCCCGAGUUGUAAUUGGCAGAGGAUGCCUCGGGUGCAACGCCGGUCUAAGUUCCUUGGAACAGGACGUCAUAGAGGGUGAGAAUCCCGUCUGCGACCUGGCGCGACGCCCAUGUGAGGCUCCUUCGACGAGUCGAGUUGUUUGGGAAUGCAGCUCUAAGCGGGUGGUAAAUUCCAUCUAAGGCUAAAUACCGGCCAGAGACCGAUAGCGCACAAGUAGAGUGAUCGAAAGAUGAAAAGCACUUUGAAAAGAGAGUUAAAAAGCACGUGAAAUUGUUGAAAGGGAAGCGCUUGCAGUCAGACUUGCCCGCGGCCGAUCAGCCGGUGUUCUCACCGGUGCACUGGGUCACGGACAGGCCAGCAUCGGUUUCGACGGCGGGACAAAGAUCUCGGGAAUGUGGCCCCUCUCGGGGGGUGUUAUAGCCCGAGGUGCAA
rnacentral:rRNA from 1 species